CGGCCGGGGAGGCGGUGCUGCAGUACUCCGUGGAGGUGCAGGUUCCCCCGCAGCUCCUGGUGGCCGAAGGCCUGGGCCAGGUGACCGCCCUGGUGGGACAGCCCUUGGACCUUCUCUGCCAGGCCUCAGGCUCCCCGAUGCCUACCAUCCAGUGCGUAUGG
rnacentral:lncRNA from 1 species